ensembl:rRNA 5S_rRNA 5S ribosomal RNA
GUCUACGGCCAUGCCACACUGAACGUGCCCGAUCUUGUCUGAUUUGGAAGAUAAGCAGGAUCAGGCUUGGUUAGUACUUGGAUGGGAAACCACCUAGGAAUACUAGGUGCGAUAGGCA